AGGACAAGGAAGGAAUCAAACAGGAACUAAAAGCCCAGGUGACCAAAGAACGGUAAACUGUAACCACAUUCCAGGGCACCGCCCACCCACGUGUACGCCGGUCAGUUCCUUCCGACCGAAGCCUCCCCGGAUCUGGGAAGCCAGCAUCGCGUCCCCAGCACCCGGAGGGACUCAGGUGUGUGGGUUGAAUUGUGUCCCUCAAAAAGAGAGAGCACAAGG